rnacentral:lncRNA from 1 species
UGGUAGUGAUGAUUGAAACAAAGAUGUAUAAUCCUCUCUCUGUCUCUAUUUCUCGCUUGUUUUUCUCUUCUUCUAUAAAUAUUUUAAUACCAUGCAAUCUUAAUUACAUGUAAUUAAUGUGAAUGCAUGUACUAGAAGUCUCCGUUGAUAUUAUAAAAUGCCUCUUCCAUCAGUUGUAUUUGUAUAUAUAUAUAUAUAUAACCACA